rnacentral:rRNA from 1 species
CAGAGGGUGCGAGCGUUGUCCGGAAUCACUGGGCGUAAAGGGCGCGUAGGCGGUCUGGUAAGCGUGUGGUGAAAGCUCGGGGCUCAAACCCCGAGUCGGCCGUGCGAACUGCUGGACGUCGAGCAUGUCAGAGGCAGGCGGAAUUCCGGUGUAGCGGUGGAAUGCGUAGAGAUCCGGAAGAACACCGGUGGCGAAGGCGGCCUGCUGGGACAUGGCUGACGCUGAGGCGCGACAGCGUGGGAGCAAACAGGAUU